AAAACACAUAACAUCCAUUUUCACCAUUUCGAAACCAUUUUAUUUCCCCCAAAUUUCAAACCCUAACAUCGAAAAUUCGUCUGCGAUCUUCCCAAAGCGUCAACAAACCAACCAAUUUUCAUCUUCUUUCUCUUCGGGAUAUUCGUUUAUCAAAGACAGAAAACUAGGUUUUACCUUCGAUUAUUUUCGUCAAAUUCAACUUGUUGAACAUUGUUCAUCAUGAAGUUCCUAGAGUGUGCUCCUCUUGACCGGCUUUCUUUUUAAAAUUUCACAUUGAAGCAAGUUGACUGGUAAAACAUGUGCUUCUGUCAUGGCGAUGUGUCUUGGUGUGGAGGAUUUGUGGCCAAAGAAAAUUCAACUGAGGCGAUGAGGAUUGACAUUUCCUUAAAUGCAUUCAGAGUGAAAAUAAUUGUCAGUAUGUGUUAGAGCUGGUUCAAGUAGUUGCUUGGAGUGAUCAUGCACCGUAUCUUCUUGUUAGUGGCUCUUCCGAUUGUACUCUUGUUACGGUAAGCAUUUGACUGGAAAUUUCAUAUUCUUUAUAGGAAAGUUUUAGAGUAUAAGAAGAAGCUUCAAUGGCCAAAAAACCUGCACCAAGAUCCA